CCGAGUGUAGCUCAGUUGGUAGAGCGAUUGACUGUAGUGUUCUAUACUGUGUUUCAGUUUCUCGGAAAUCACAUUGGUCGCUGGUUCGAUUCCGGCCACUUCGG
rnacentral:tRNA from 1 species